UCCAGACUCCUACGGGAGGCAGCAGUGGGGAAUAUUGCACAAUGGGGGAAACCCUGAUGCAGCGACGCCGCGUGAGUGAAGAAGUAUUUCGGUAUGUAAAGCUCUCUCAGCAGGGAAGAUAAUGACGGUACCUGACUAAGAAGCCCCGGCUAACUACGUGCCAGCAGCCGCGGUAAUACGUAGGGGGCAAGCGUUAUCCGGAUUUACUGGGUGUAAAGGGUGUGCAGGUGGCAGGGCAAGUCAGAUGUGAAAGCCCGGGGCUCAACCCCGGUAUUGCAUUUGAAACUGUCCGGCUAGAGUGCAGGAGAGGUAAGCGGAAUUCCUAGUGUAGCGGUGAAAUGCGUAGAUAUUAGGAGGAACACCAGUGGCGAAGGCGGCUUACUGGACUGUAACUGACGUUGAGGCUCGAAAGCGUGGGGAGCAAACAGGAUUAGAUACCCUUGUA
rnacentral:rRNA from 1 species